ensembl:lncRNA
UUCAAAUACAGAGUUCUGGACUGGCCUGCUUUUGCACUAUGCCUGCUGAGGACAGCGCUGGCACAAAUCCGAGCAAACUAACCCGAGUACAGAAAACCAAUCCAUUAAUUUUUGGAGGCAACGUGAUGACUGAUUUUAAGGAGUAUUUAAUCCUUUCUUGGUCAGUUUAGGGAGCCCUAUGAAAGCCAUAACUGUUGAAAAUAAUUAGAAAAGUUGUGCAGAAGGUUUAGCAGCUAAUUGGCUCCCGCAGCGGAGAACGGAGCUGUUCAUUUGCGGUGUUGGGGCAGCUCUGGGCUUGUAACGCUGAGCGGCAGCCGCUACAAUGGGCCCCGGGAAAUAAUGUGGGGCUCGGAGAUGGUAUCGCGGGCACUUGAAAGAGCUGAGCCGAGGGAGACAGGAAUGAAGAAGAAAAAGGAAAAAAAGAUCUGAGAGUGAAUGAAGAAGCAAUAGGAAAUCUGAAUUCUCGCAACGAGAAUAUUUAAAAGAAUAAGGGGAGGGAGGAGAAAUCUUCCCAAAAUAGGUGAUGAAUAAACAGAUGCAGGCAAAUGUGCACGGAGGGGAGAGGAACGAAGGACUCUGCUGGGAGCUGCGAUGCCCGGCCCCGCACUGUGUGGGGGACAGCGGAGAAAACUCUGAUAUCCUCUGCUCUACUCUCACAUCAGCAAUUCCAAAUUAAUCACCGCCGCGAGAGAAGGGCCGCUUUGUUUGGAGAGGAAAAGGUGAUAUCUCCACUUGGAAGGGCCCUUCCCCCCGGCCUUCCCUCCAUUGUCAUUAAAAUAGGAGAUCGCAAAAACCGAAAAAAAAGAAAGAGAAAAAAGCGUGCUUUGCAACGAGGCCAUCGGAAAUACAGUGAAAUAGGUGUGAUUGGAACUCCUGGAGCCUCGGGACCACUCUCUGUACGUUUGUGCCUAAGCAAAUUAAAGGAAUGGCAUCUGCUGCAGCUGACAAAGGGAAUGAUUUAUUAUUUACCACUUCCAAUCGGUUGUAUACUGCAGGUAACUUAAUAGCACAUACUUAAAGAAUUAUUUAGAUUGCAGCGUAAAAAAAUCUGCUGAGAGUGUGCUAAAAAAGGGAAAAGAGGAGUGUGGUUGGAGGAAGGCACAAUCUCUGAGCCACGGCAGUUUGGGGCUGGCUAAUAGCAUUAAUUAGAUAAGCGUGAUGCAUAAUAACUCCCGGGAAGGGGACUCCAACGGAUGGCUCCACAGAGUUCAUCUCAGUGGGCUCUGAACGCUCUGCACUGGGGUCAGCACAGUCGAAUGCUGCCCGAGAGCUUCAGGUGCACCUCUCCCUCUCUCCCAUGUACGGGGGAAGGGCUGGUGGCGGGGCUGCAAUGUAUGCACGUCUCUGCUAAGGCCCAAAAUACGCCUUCACCUUUGCCUGCUUCCAGGCAUAGAAACACUUCAGUUAGCUGAGAGUGUCUUUGGGGCUCUUCUUUAUGAAGAAUCUUUUAGUAGAGAAUACGAGGUUUAUUUUAUUUUAUUUUAUUCUAUUUCAUUUCAUUUAAUCUCAUUUUAUAUCUAGCAAUGAUUCUGUUAUCUGAUCCUCAUUUCCAUGGGGCGUUACGUGCCAAACCCUCGGGCAGCGCUCUCAGGAUUUUUGUAACGCGCACUGCAGAGCGUUGCAGUGUCUCAGCGCUGCUUCUCCGCGUUCCCCUACUUGUGCCGUUCGGUCUGUAUGGACUCUAGGAGAUUUCCCGAGAUGGUGGUUGAGGCGGUUAACUUUGCAUAGACAAUAGCAGAAGAAAACUGCUCGUCAAGAAACCUCCGAUUACGGUUUUAAGAUUGUGUUCGCAGACGAGUGUGAGGGAUAAUAAAUUAUAGCUCGAAUCCAAAAUAGGAUAUUUUGCGGACUAUUAUUCUAGCAGACUAAAAAAAAAAAAAAGAAAAAAGAAAAGUUUCAGUAAAAUAGUAUCCGUUAUCUUACGAAAGCGUUCUCAAGAAAUCGAAGAGUGUACAUAUAUAACAUAUUCUGCCUUAAGCGACACAAAACCACUGUUUGAGGGGGUGAUCUGUUGUUGUUUUUUUGUUUGUUUGGGUUUUUUUUUUUUUAAUUCUGUGCCUGGGAAAAAAAAAGGAAAGAAAGAAAGAAAGAAAAUAAAAAAAAAAAAGAAAGGAAAAAAAAAAAGAAGAGUUGUAGAGGGGACGUCACCGCGCCCUUUAGAACUGCUCAGGGUUUGUGACAGGAGCUGAGGCUCAGGUGUACACCCCCGCACCUCUCGUCUUAACGUGGGCUCUGCAGCAGCACUCAGGCAAAACUCCCACUGAACCCAGUUGCGUUUGGCCUGAACAUACCGGAGUUCUGCUUGAAAAAGUGCACUGAGAAGUGAUAACUUAAAAAAAAAAAAAAAAAGAAUUUAUAUUCUUUAAUUUUUGAUAUUUUCCCUUCUGAAAGCUCACUGAGAGAUCUACACCGCCAUUUAGGAUAUAUUGCAUAGCUCUCAAUAGCACACCAGUCCCAGGGAAGGUGCAGGCAUGUACCUAUUGCACAGUGCAGAACUCAAGAAGGGCGAUAGACAACUGGGGAUGCGCACAUGCACACCCGCGCACCCCGCAGCACCCCUCGCCGGGCUUUGCCCCACACUUCCCCGUGCCGCCCCCCGCCCCCCGCCCAGCUCAGCGCCUGGGUGACGGGGUCAGGCGUGGCGGGAGCGGGGGAGCGGGAGGUGAAGGUGAAGAGCAGCAGCGGGCUCGGGGCUGGCUGCGGCUGCUCGCUGGGCUGUGCGGCUGUGCCCAGAGGGCGGAGUUCCCGCACGCUGCUGCCUCACCGGAGAACCUGCCCUCGGCGCAGCGCUCCGCAGCCGGGACCCCACCGCCGCCGCCCUCCCCGCACCGCUCUGUGUGGCCUCGCUUCCCCCCGGGCUCGGGGAGCCGGGAGGUGGCGGAGCGGCGCUGCCCCCAGUCCUCGUCCUCGGGCGGGGUUCCCGAGCACCUCUCACACCGCAAAGCGCGUGUCUAACGCCAGGAUUUUUCUUUUUUCUUUUUGGUCUCUUUUCGAAGCGUUUCCUCCCCCCGUCUCCCCUCCCCCUCGCUCCCAUCGGUAAGUUGGAACUUUCUUCGCCGCUUUAGCAGUUCUCCCGCUCUCUCUCCAGGUUUUAGUUCCUCUAUUAACGCUUUGUCGCUGCUCCGCUCGCACCGACUCCGGAGGAGCCACCACCCGCCCGGAGCGGGUCUGCGUCCGCUCUCGGAACCGCCGGAGAAGCUGCAGGAAGAGCGGGGAAGGGCGCACCGUCGGCUGCGAUCACUGGAGGCAAACAUCGAAUUAAUUGGAUCUUGGUGGCUGAGGCUGGUAACAGUGUAUUGAACGGAGUUAUCUGCCACAAUGCCCAGGUGUCUGCCAGAAUGUCAGGACAUUCUAGACCAGAGAGAAACUGGAGUUUGCCUUCAGAAGAAGUGCCAUGGAACGGCUAGAUCUGUGCCUUCACAGCGACAGGGCCUGGCACUAUUUUGCAACUUCAUACCUUACUCCUUUAAGUUAAGUGAUUAAUUCUGUGGAAUUAGGUGGUUGUUUAGUGACUCGUAUUACUUACAUUCAUUGUUGCUGAAGACCUCCAAACCAACUGCAUAUUUGUUUCUCUCUUGGAAAACUCAUUUUUGGAUGUGUCCUCUGACAACACCAUGUUAAGUGAAACGGGGCAUGACCACCCCAGCUGAAAAUCUGAACGUUUCAGAAGUUUUUCAAAAAUUUCUCCCUAAUGUGGGUCCACUUAAUAUUCGAAUUUUCAAACAUAGCGUGACAUCAGAUGGCAAGCCAAAACACAUUAAUUCCUGGACUAUAGGCAUAAUCGGGACCCAAUGCAAUGUCCAGUGAUACAGAUGGGAAAUCUACCUUUGGUAGCGGUGGAAGUGGCAUCUGGCCCUUCACGGCCCAUAGGAUAGGACUAUGCAGGCAGCUUUAAUUUCACGCCGAUCUCCAGUAUUUGUAACAUUUGGAAUUAAAAUGUAGAAUUAAACUGAAUUAGUUUACCAGCGCAGUUUUGUGCCGGGGCUUAGCAGCAAUCUAGUGGGCAUUAGGAACGAAUGUCGUUCAUUUCGUGUUCCUAAGCGCAGCAAAAUGACCUUUGGUACACUCCUCUGAGAGCAGUGUUAGAAAGAAAAGAGGGAGAAGGAAAGACAGAAGGAGAGGGAAAAAAAAAGAUUCCUCACUCUCAGGAUUGGGUAGCGGAUCUAUAACUAAUGAGCCAUGAGGUCAUAUAUCAGUAAUUAACACGCAUCUGACGUCCUGCGCAUUCCCAGCGCGGCUUUGUUCAGGCAGUAUGACUCGAAGCACGGACCGGUGCGGACGGGGCCGGCUCGUGGGGCACGAGGGUCUCCCCCUGCUCUGCGGGCAAAAAGGGCCGCGGAAGCAGCGGGGAGGGGAGAGGGGAACGGACGACAAAGGCGAGAGGUGCGCUGCCAGUCAGUGGGGCAGGGCUCGUCAGAGGGCUGGGAAACAGCCCCGUCCCGCCGCAGGAAUAGUGCCGUCCUGCAACAACCUACCGCGACGCCACUUCCUCCGCAACUAAAACACGCGCAAAAUGGGCACGGGGGAUAGCAGAGACCUAUCAGUUUCCUGAUGUAGUUGUGCUAAUAAAUAAACCUUCUCGAUGUUUAAAACACUCUAUCUGUCACAUUCACAAGAUAGGUACUGUAAAUUCCUGUUGCAAAUAUACAAACAGAGAUCCAAGAGGUUGCCUCUGUUUUUGUAUCUCUCUCUCACAAGAAAUGCACUAUCAAAACAUUAAUUAUAUUUGAAAGGGAGCAGAUUAUUUGUUUGAGAAAGAAUUACAUUCUUGAAUUUAUAUUCCACACAGAUCUCUCCUCCUGUCUGCCGGGAGGGCUGAACUGUAAAUCUGUCUCGAGUGAUGCACCCUACACCGUGGGUAGGUGCGUCACUUCGGAGCCGGAGAGAGAUGGGAGCUCAUCCGAGGAGCUUUCAGACACCUCCGUGGGAUGGGUCGUUAGGGAGUGUCGGAAUCCACACGAAAUUGCAGAUCUAACAUGUGAGGAACAUAAAGCCCCGCUCUCUGACAGUGGGAGCGCAAACACGCAGACACGCGGGACUGAGCCUGGUGCUUGCUGAGCACUGUGACUCACGGCUUUGGGCCUCGGUGCUGGUUUGCAAAAUGCCUCACACACGUCCUGCUGCAGUCGAUAGCCGGAAAGCUACCGACCGUGUGAGUCAUGAGCCGUCAGCAAAAGACUUCGCCCGCUCUUCCAGCGCCUAAUAAAAGAAUUAAACAGAUGCCCUUAUCUUCUUCUGAAGAAAAACGAAAGAAAGAAAGAAAAUGUGGCAAUGCACUGUGACUUUCUCAGGAGCGCUGAAAUCCUGCCACUGGGAUCUGGUUCUUCCCCUCUCCACCGCCGUGCGGCAUUCCCUAUAGCGUACGCCUACCGCCAGGCGCCCUUAAGCAUCUCAACAGAAUUGCUCUUUGGCAUCGAAACUGCUGGCUGCGGCUGAUGCCACGAGUCCGCGCAGAAAAGUGGCCAGGGCUUUUCUCACGGCUGGAGAAGCGUGUCCAUAAAUCGAUAGAUUCUCUCGGUGUGGAACCCGGGGGAGGGGGUCCCGAACAGGCGACCCCUUUUCUCUGUUCUUGUGUUGCCCGAGUCUCUGAGCGGCUUUCCCGAGCGCUGGGACGGCCGAGACACGGGGCCGGGGGGUCGGGGCCGUGCCUGGACUGCGCUCUGCUUAUGGUCGGAGAUUUGUGGGAGUAGAGAGAACCCUGACAGCCAGAGUGGGACCUGGCCGGGAGCGGGCUCCGUGAUGGAGGAUGGCUGCAUGCUCGUGAUGCGAAGGGCGGAACAGGACAGCGCGCUGGCACCGAGAGCUUUUUUUUUUUUUUUUUUUUUUUUUUUUUUUUUUGUUCAUUAGAACCAAAAGGAAAAAUGGAG